AAGCAUUUAUACCGGGAAACUGCGAAUGGCUCAUUAAAUCAGUUAUCGUUUAUUUGAUAGUACCUUACUACUUGGAUAACCGUGGUAAUUCUAGAGCUAAUACAUGCUGAAAACCCCGACUCACGAAGGGGUGUAUUUAUUAGAUAAAAAACCAACGCCCUUCGGGGCUUCUUGGUGAUUCAUGAUAACUUUACGGAUCGCAUGGCCUUGCGCUGGCGACGGUUCAUUCAAAUUUCUGCCCUAUCAACUUUCGAUGGUAAGGUAUUGGCUUACCAUGGUUUCAACGGGUAACGGGGAAUUAGGGUUCGAUUCCGGAGAGGGAGCCUGAGAAACGGCUACCACAUCCAAGGAAGGCAGCAGGCGCGCAAAUUACCCAAUCCCGACACGGGGAGGUAGUGACAAUAAAUACUGAUACAGGGCUCUUUUGGGUCUUGUAAUUGGAAUGAGUACAAUUUAAACCUCUUAACGAGGAACAAUUGGAGGGCAAGUCUGGUGCCAGCAGCCGCGGUAAUUCCAGCUCCAAUAGCGUAUAUUAAAGUUGUUGCAGUUAAAAAGCUCGUAGUUGAACCUUGGGCCUGGCUGGCAGGUCCGCCUCACCGCGUGUACUUGUCCGGCCGGGUCUUCCUUCUGGAGAACCUCAUGCCCUUCACUGGGCGUGUUGGGGACCAGGACUUUUACUUUGAAAAAAUUAGAGUGUUCAAAGCAGGCCUUUGCUCGAAUACGUUAGCAUGGAAUAAUAGAAUAGGACGUGCGGUCCUAUUUUGUUGGUUUCUAGGACCGCCGUAAUGAUUAAUAGGGACAGUCGGGGGCAUCAGUAUUCAAUUGUCAGAGGUGAAAUUCUUGGAUUUAUUGAAGACUAACUACUGCGAAAGCAUUUGCCAAGGAUGUUUUCAUUAAUCAGUGAACGAAAGUUAGGGGAUCGAAGACGAUCAGAUACCGUCGUAGUCUUAACCGUAAACUAUGCCGACUAGGGAUCGGGCGAUGUUCUUUUUCUGACUCGCUCGGCACCUUACGAGAAAUCAAAGUUUUUGGGUCUGGGG
rnacentral:rRNA from 1 species